AACGAACGCUGGCGGCAGGCUUAACACAUGCAAGUCGAACGCCCCGCAAGGGGAGUGGCAGACGGGUGAGUAACGCGUGGGAACAUACCCUUUCCUGCGGAAUAGCUCUGGGAAACUGGAAUUAAUACCGCAUACGCCCUACGGGGGCAAGAUUUAUCGGAAUUGGAUGAGCCCGCGUUGGAUUAGCUAGUUGGUGAGGUAACGGCUCACCAAGGCGACGAUCCAUAGCUGGUCUGAGAGGAUGAUCAGCCACACUGGGACUGAGACACGGCCCAGACUCCUACGGGAGGCAGCAGUGGGGAAUAUUGGACAAUGGGCGCAAGCCUGAUCCAGCCAUGCCGCGUGAGUGAUGAAGGCCUUAGGGUUGUAAAGCUCUUUCAGUGGGGACGAUAAUGACGGUACCCACAGAAGAAGCCCCGGCUAACUUCGUGCCAGCCGCCGCCGUAACAC
rnacentral:rRNA from 1 species